GGUUCGAUCCUGCUCAGGAUUGAACGCUGGCGGAUGUUUUUAUACAUAAGUCAACGUGCAUGACUUGUCUGGUGGCGAGGGCGAACGGGUGAGUAAUGUAUCGGAACGUGUGCCUAGUAGCGGGGGAUAACUACGCGAAAGGAAGCAUUACCGCAUAAUACCCUUCGGGGAAAGCGGGGGGACCUUCGGGCCUUCGCACUAUUAGAGCGGCCGAUAUCGGAUUAGCUAGUUGGUGGGGCAACGGCUCACCGCUGACGAUCCGCAGCUGUUUGAGAGGACGACCAGCCACAUCGGGAUUCAGAGACACGGCCCAGACUCCUACGGAGGCAGCAGUGGGGAAUUUUGGACAAUGGGGGAAACCCUGAUCCAGCCAUCCGCGUGCGAUGAAGCGCUCUCGGGUUGUAAAGCACUUUUGGCAGGAAAGAAACGGCAUCGGGAUAAUACCCUGUGCAACUGACGGUACCUGCAGAAUAAGCACCGGCUAACUACGUGCCAGCAGCCGCGGUAAUAAUGUAGGUGCAAGCGUUAAUCGGAAUUACUGGGCGUAAAGCGUGCGCAGGUUCGGAAAGAAAGAUGUGAAAUCCCAGAGCUUUGACCGAACGAGCUUAACGCACUGAGUUGGGAGUGCAAGCCGAGGGAGGUGUAAUUCGCGUGUAGCAGUGAAAUGCGAUAUGUGGAGAACACCGAUAUAGCGCAGCUCUGGGAUAACACUGACGCUCAGCACGAAAGCGUGGGGAGCAAACAGGAUUAGAUACCCUGGUAGUCCACGCCCUAAACGAUGUCAACGCUAGCUGUUGGGGCCUUCGGGCCUUGGUAGCGCAGCUAACGCGUGAAGUUGACCGGGCCUGGGGAGUACGGUCGCAAGAUUAAAACUCAAAGGAAUUGACGGGGACCCGCACAAGCGGUGGAUGAUGUGGAUUAAUUCGAUGCGCCCGCGAAAAACCUUACCUACUCUGACAUGUCUGGAAUCCCGAAGAGAUUUGGGGAGUGCUCGCAAGAGAACCGGAACACAGGUGCUGCAUGGCUGUCGUCAGCUCGUGUCGAGAUGCUGGGUUAAGUCCCGCAACGAGCGCAACCCUUGUCAUUAGUUGGCUACGAAAGGAAAUUCCUGUAAUGAGACUGCCGGUGACAAACCGAGGAAGGUGGGGAUGACGUCAAGUCCCUCAUGGCCCUUAUGCGGUAGGGCUUCACACGUCAUACAAUGGUCGGGAUGUAGGUCGCCAACCUGCGAGGGGAGCCAAUCCCAGAAACCCGAUCGUAGUCCGGAUCGCAGUCUGCAACUCGACUGCGUGAAGUCGGAAUCGCUAGUAAUCGCGGAUCAGCAUGUCGCGGUGAAUACGUUCCCGGGUCUUGUACACACCGCCCGUCACACCAUGGGAGUGGGUUUUACCAGAAGUAGUUAGCCUAACCGUAAGGAGGCGAUUACCACGGUAGAUUCAUAUCGCGAAGUCGUAACAAGGUAG
rnacentral:rRNA from 1 species